rnacentral:lncRNA from 1 species
GGUGAUGCUGGAGCUCCUGGAAAGUCUAUUGAAAUGAAGGACAUUGAAGAGAUGUUUGAAGCAUAUGGAAUAAGGCUUCCUUUGCUGAAGGCUUUGAUUGACAGACUGCUGCAGGACGGAAUAGAGGAGCUGCUUCAUGUGCUCGGCACGACCAAGAAGGCAAAGGAAAACACAGACAGUCACACCUCCAACAUCAUCACAGAGUACACAAGUUCAGUGAAGUUUGACCUCACCAGCCAGCCUUCGUCUGACUUGGGCACCAUUGAAGAUGCAGCUUUAGAUUUUUCAGAGUCUUUGUCUAUUGAGCCUUUAAAUGAAACUGAAGAGGGUCCGACUUUAUGGACCGUCACUGCACUGAAUGGAGAGCAAGGGCUUGACAAGACUGAAACCAAAUUAAGGGGAUCCAGAAGGAAGGAGAUGGGGCCUUCACUCAAACUUAACCUAACUGUAGUCAAUACUACUUUUAAUUAUACUAUGAUGGAGGAGACGGUUUCAGGUUUACCUGGACCUGUGGUGGAAACUGUUCUUCUCACUCACGAAGAGUCUCUGACUAAGAAUGCGGGACAGAAGAAGAACAGGGAGCGUGGGAAGACAAGUGAAGGUGACAAGCAAGAAGAAGAGGAAGAGGAGGAGUUUUAUAACGGUGAAGAACUCAGUUAUGAGUAUGAGCAGGAGGAACCCUCCCCAGACGACCCCGCAGCCUCCACACAGCUUGAAGCCUUAACAGAUGGGUCCCUUCGUCUCGUGGAUAAAAAGGUGAACAUUAAUAAUAUGGUAGCCCACGGAAUAGUAAAAACUCAUUUACUGUGUCAGAACUAUGCUAUGAUGGACGAGCGGCUGAGACAGCUGAGCUCUGUUAGUCACUGCUCUGUUGUACCUGAGGAAAGCGGCACAUCUUGUCCUGUGUGCUGCUUUAGGAGGACGAAGUAUCCACACACAGUCCCAUCCAGAGAGAAACAUCAGCAGGAGCCUCCAGUCGUCCUGUGGCUUUACUCGCAGAAAGUGAAGCACCUGCAAAGGAUGAAGUGUCGCUGGCAACACCUCCCAUCACAACAGAGGAACCAGACGAGGUGCCUCGGUCUCAGUUCAGGGUGA